UGGCUACAAAAAUUUCAAUUUAUAGAGUUCAACCGAGGGAGAAAAGUGGACAGAGGCACAAGGGAAGUGGAUCUAUACUUGAUAAGAGAGGGGCACAGGUUGGGUGAGGGCAUACCUCUGGAUUUGAAGGAAAAAAAUCGUGCAAUCAAGAAUUCAAGAAGGCUUCGAAGGUUCAAAAAAUAUCACGGUGGGAGUUCAACAUUUGGCACAUUGGUACUCCUUUAAUGUAGCUAUAGAUUUUCUCCAUGCCGAAAAUAACACCAUUUCUUUUGUUAUUACUUUGGUUCGCUUGGAUGGUGGGGGCACUCCAG
rnacentral:lncRNA from 1 species